AGUGAACGCUGGCGGUAGGCCUAACACAUGCAAGUCGAACGGCAGCACAGUAAGAGCUUGCUCUUACGGGUGGCGAGUGGCGGACGGGUGAGGAAUACAUCGGAAUCUACUUUUUCGUGGGGGAUAACGUAGGGAAACUUACGCUAAUACCGCAUACGACCUACGGGUGAAAGCAGGGGAUCUUCGGACCUUGCGCGAUUGAAUGAGCCGAUGUCGGAUUAGCUAGUUGGCGGGGUAAAGGCCCACCAAGGCGACGAUCCGUAGCUGGUCUGAGAGGAUGAUCCGCCACCAUGGAACUGAGACACGAUCCAGACUCCUACGGGAGGCAGCAGUGGGGAAUAUUGGACAAUGGGCGCAAGCCUGAUCCAGCCAUACCGCGUGGGUGAAGAAGGCCUUCGGGUUGUAAAGCCCUUUUGUUGGGAAAGAAAAGCAGCAGGUUAAUACCCCGCUGUUCUGACGGUACCCAAAGAAUAAGCACCGGCUAACUUCGUG
rnacentral:rRNA from 1 species